rnacentral:rRNA from 1 species
GAUGAACGCUGGCGGCGUGCUUAACACAUGCAAGUCGAACGGAAAGGCUCCUGCUUGCAGGGGUACUCGAGUGGCGAACGGGUGAGUAACACGUGGGUGAUCUGCCCUUCACUUCGGGAUAAGCCUGGGAAACUGGGUCUAAUACCGGAUAGGACGAUGGUUUGGAUGCCAUUGUGGAAAGUUUUUUCGGUGUGGGAUGAGCUCGCGGCCUAUCAGCUUGUUGGUGGGGUAAUGGCCUACCAAGGCGUCGACGGGUAGCCGGCCUGAGAGGGUGUACGGCCACAUUGGGACUGAGAUACGGCCCAGACUCCUACGGGAGGCAGCAGUGGGGAAUAUUGCACAAUGGGCGGAAGCCUGAUGCAGCGACGCCGCGUGGGGGAUGACGGCCUUCGGGUUGUAAACUCCUUUCGCUAGGGACGAAGCGCAAGUGACGGUACCUGGAGAAGAAGCACCGGCUAACUACGUG